CACCCCUCUGCCCCCAGAAUACCUGUGUACAUGUGUAUGGACAGACAUGCCCACAUGUGUGGUUUUUAAAUGGCCCUGCACAGUUGUCUCUGGGGCCGGCCGGUUGUGUCUCAUGGGAUAAAGUUCCACUUAGAGAUGGCACCCAUCUCGGCCCACAGGUCACCACUCUGUCCUCCUCAGUCUCCAAAGCCAUUUUCAGAGCCUGCCCUGAGGAUUUGUCCUCCUCCAGUCCCCAGUGCCAGAGCCAGCAGGUCCUGGCUAUAGACUGGAGGUGGGGACACUAAAGGGUCUGAAGGGCUGGCCAGGAAAGGCUUCAGGCUGGGGACCUCUUCGAUGCUCACCCUGAGCCAGGCACCGAUUUCACUACCUGAAAGGUGACUGGGAAGCGGCAGAAGGCAGCCGCAAGAACACAACAGACGGCCCCAGCCACCCCGCCCCACCCGUGAGCGCCCACGCCCUGGAACAGCGCAACAUCGCCACCGUGCGGCCGCCGGCCUGAACAACAGCCUCUCAGCCCCUGGGGUCCGUAGCUCUAGGUCUCUGGAGACCUCCAAACUGGGUCCGGGAUUUUAAACCUUACCUUUUCCAUAAAGUCCUUCCUAAUCCAGAUUUCACUGUGAUUCCUGCAGACUCUAGGUCUGAGUGGGACUCGCCAUGGCUGCAAUAAGCAGGACUCAGGUUAAACUUUCAUUAAAUUUACAUGGUUAUGAUUCGUAGCUAAAACAAUGGCGAUACAAGGUAGUUUAGGGGGAUCAGAGAGUUGGAUCAUCUUGAGAUCUCAGCAACGAAAACAGCUGGUCAGGAGGGCAACGCCUCUGCGGGGCUGCAUUGAGCUUGUGGAGGCACAGCAGCAGCCCUGCGCUCUUCCCCUGUGAGGCCAGCCUGCUGUGCAGGGGACCUGUGCACGGGGGGCCCUUGGCCUGGCCCUCCCACCUCCUCCUCUAACACUUCAGACCUCAGCUGUGGCCUUCGCCUGGGUGAAGGAAAGGCUGGUCAGCACAGACCUGUGCAGGCCUCUGGCCUCUCCCAGCCUCUGCAGGGCUGGACUGCCAUCCUCAGCAAGGAGUAACUACAGCCUGCUGGCAUUCCCACCCCGUCAGCUCAGGCUCUUGGACCAGAGACUUCUGUCUUCGUGAGAGCUGUCAGCACAGGGCCUGAGUGAUGUGUCUGGCCUCUGGAGAGUCAGGGAGUCUCAGCCUGAUCUUCUGAUCUCCAGCCAGAAGUAACACAGGAUUUGGUCCCAUAAUCUUUUUAAAGGCAUUGACACUUGAUUGAUUUUCCAGGGAUCAAAUGCUUCUCUACAUUCAGGCAGGCUUCCAGCAUCCCCCGAGGACCAAGGACGUCCUUUAAACCGCGGCUCUGGGCAUCUGCUGGAGCACUUGGUGAUGCUGCUGCUCCGUGGCACUUGGAAUGGCAUGACCUGCUGCUAAAACGGUGCUCUCCAACCUCACGGGAACGCUUCUUAGCACACAGGCCACUGGCCCCAUCCAGUGGGCCCCCCAGUUUCUGUUCAGGAGGUCUGGAUGAAGCAUGAGACUCUGCACCUAUGAGUCCCAGGAAACGAAACGACACGCCUUGUCCCACUCAGACCUCCCGCACAGAGUCCUGGAAAGGGUGGGAUGGCCCUGAAGGCUGGCCAUCCGUGUUCACCCUGCUCCCCGGUUGGGACUCUGACCUGGGGGAGAGAGCAGUCCAGGAGACUGUCAAGCCACAGUGGAGCCGAGGGUGGUGGCAUGGCACGGGCUGGGCUCGCCUCCCUGAAUCCCACUGCAUGGGUGACCACGUCUACACCUGGGCCAAGCCCCAGCUGCCGAGGCUCAUGCACACUUAGGAACCAGACCACCCACAGGCCCUGUGGAACCUCUACAUUUAACACAGACCAUUCCCUCAGCGCCUGCACUGGGCACUUCUGUCUGACGUUAUCAGGAGGGAAUGAGCACGUCAGAGCAGAAAAGGAAUGACAUUUACAGCACACACAGGAGUCCUUCAGUGUCGUCUUCACUCUACUUCCCAUGCCUUGGUGAGAACAGAUGUUCCUUCCCUCCCUGGGGAGGAAAAUGCGACAGAUAUUCUCGAACAGGUUCCAGGCAACACUCCCUCCCUCAAAAGGGUAAAACAGGCUAAAAUGAAACAGGCACUGCAGGCCGGGCGCAGUGGCUCACGCCUGUAAUCCCAGCACUUUGGGAGGGGAACACGGGCGGAUCACCUGAGGUCAGGAGUUCAAGACCAGCCUGACCAAAAUGGAGAAACCCCGUCUCUACUAAAAAUACAAAAUUAGCUGGGCAUGGUGGUGCAUGCCUGUAACCCCAGCUACUCGGGAGGCUGAGACACGAGAACAGUUUGAACCCAGAAGGCGGAGGUUGCGGUGACCCAAGAUUGAGCCAUUGCACUCCAGCCUGGGCAACAAGAGCGAAACUCCACCUCCAAAAAAAAAAAAAAAAAAAAGGGAGAAAGAGGCACUGCAAACCCCACCUCCCCCGAGAAGCCUUGCAGCAUUGCUGCAAUCAGACUAUAUUUCCUCCCUUUUGUUUCCAUAACUCAUGGCAGGCAAAAAAAAAAAAAAAAAAA
rnacentral:lncRNA from 1 species